GAAAGUUCCUUUUUCCUGGCCUAGACCUGGGAGCUGCCAGGCUGCUGUGAGGGCCUGGGCUUGAACUGUACCAAUUUUUCACAAAAAGAAGAGGAAAUUGAAGAGCAGAUGAUUUCAUAACGGUUGGCCACUGAUGCUUUACAGAGCUGCAGUUAGCGUCACAGGGAAAACUUCAGCGCACACCAACACCUACAGCGCCCCUCCGACCGAAGCGCAGCGCCCCGCCCGCCCGCCAUCACGCACGCGCCCCGGGCCGGGCGGUGACGCCACGUUUAUUCGGUGCCUGAAGGGCGGAAGCGCCGUGCAGCGCUCAGGAAAUGGCGGCGCUGCGGGGCGGGCGCGUGGCGUGGUGUGUCAUGGCGGCGCGGCUCGCGAGCGGCGCUGCUUGCUGCUGGGAAACGGCGGACCGAGGAAGGACGGGACGCGGUACCCAGCCGGGCAGCUCCGCGAGGUCAGCCCCGCUCGGCCUGUGAUGCCCUCCAGUGGCAGCCGCGUGUGCUGCCGUGCUGGGCGAGGGGAGCGGGAAGAGCGCUCCGAAGUGCUUCCUGUCCCGGGAUGCAAAGGUACCUCGGGUUUUAUGAUGUUCCUCUUCACGGGGGAGGAAACGCUGUUGUUUUCAGCGUGAGGCUGAGACUCCUGACUGGAUUCAAGUCCCUGUUGUGCUACAGUGCCUGGAUUGCCCUGUCUGUCCUGCUUAUGUGUUAUUGCAGGAUGUGAGAGAACGAGGCGCCUUGAGAGAAUCCCAGCAGUGCCUAAAAGCAGUCCAGACAACAAAUCAAAUCAGUGCAGAACUGUGCUAUUGACUUAGCCCUCUGGCUGCGACAGAAAUAACUGAGUUCCGGGGGAGAAUGACUCCAGCCAGCUCUGUGCUUUCAAAAGACGCUGGCAGCUCGCAGCAGAGUUUCAGAUCCUAUUUCUUUCUCCUCUCUUCAGGCAGCACUGUGGUUUUAAUGGAUGUUUUUUCUGUUUUGCUCUCUGUUCUGUACAGAGACACGCCACAAGCCAAAUAUGAUUCUUGCUAGGUACAUAAGGCUAGUUCAGCACUGCCUUCUGGUGGUGUUGUCCAUGGUAAAAGGGAUUGAGUAUAACUUGUAAACCUGUGAGUCUGCAGGUGGCCCUGGCAAGGUCCCCAGUUAGCUCCUGGGUGAGGUGUGGCUGGUAUUCCGUCCUUUGGCUGUUCCUGCUGCUGUUGCAGCCUCUGCAGGGAUGCACAGAUCACUGCUGCAGGUUGGGGCAGCCUGUGGUAUUUGAGCAGCCAGUGCCAGAGCGUUAGGCAUGAGCCCCCAUGUUCUACUGAAGAUGAAUUUUUUCUCUGCCAGCAAAUGCAUGUAAUCAAAGGAACAGAAAGAAAAAUGCUAACAGGUAUCAGGAAAAACAUGUCCUACAGCACACUCUGACUAAUUGUCAGGGGACAAUUCGUUCUUAAUGGACCUUUGUUGUUUCAUGUGGUCUAGUUUAGCAGUGAGCCAGAGUUUCUGAAGACAGGCUCUCCAGGGCAGUGGUCAUGGCUGGAGUUCAUCAGGCUAGCUGCUGGAGUUCAAGAAGUGUUCGGACAUUGCUUUCAAGUGUGGGGCUUGAAUUCUUAGUGGUCCUGCGUGGAGCCAGGAGUUGGACUUGAUGAUCCUUGUGGACCUCUUCCAACUCAGGAUAUUCUGUGAUUCUGUAAUUGCAGCUUGAGUGCCUUACUGAUCUGAUCAGUAGACCCUGUAAUGGAAAUGGUGGCCUCCUUGUAAAGGAUGUAAGGAUGUAUAUAAUGGUAAUUUACAGUAACAGCUGGUUUUAAAGAAUUGUUCACUCCUUUUUCUUUGCUGUGUAAAUAUUUAAGUGACAAGGUUGAGAUUCCUAGGAGAGUAAAUGCUUGGGUUACAGCUGACAGGUGAAGCUUUUAUUAAACAGAAACAUGCAAACUUAUUUCCUUUAUUUUUUUUUUUAGCCUGGCAGCUGAUGAUUGCUUAUUUGUUCUUUUUUCAGAUAUUUCUGUUGCUGCCUUAGCAGUCUCAUAAGCCAUCCCUGGUGAUGACCACUGAGUCAUGCUCUGAAAAACUGGCUGUUCCUGUGAUCUGCAGAUUCAUUGAGCCAGCAACGUAGUGGCAGAGCUGUUUGGUACUCUUAGAGCCUCAGUUGCACAGUGUGCAUGUACCUCGUAGCUGGCUCAGCAAAUCAGUCCUUGCAGCACAUCUGUGAGAUGGUUGUCUGGGUUGAUAUAACAUCAGAGAUGAGCAGCUCAUCCUGGAGCCAGAAUACAGGUAAAGUUUAAACACUUGAGAUGAAAGCUGUGGGUGGAGAGUGAUGUUGUGGGGCCAUUCAGAGGGCCAACACAAGGUAGACUUUCAUCAGAAUGGCUUCAUUCACCUGGCAGUCUUUGUAUACUAAAGGUGUCCUUGAGGAGUGUCAGUCCUCCUGCUACCUCUGCUCUGAUAUUUGUUGUUUUUGUUUUAUUUUUGCAGGUCUUUCUCUCAUUGUAAAGAGCGUGGCGUUCAGUUUUGGCAGAUAAAGGUUAAAUAUGCUCCACUGCACGGAAGCUGGACCUUGAAUCAAGGCAUACAUUUUUAACUGAAGGGAGAAGAAGGUGUUAAAACAAUUCAGAAGUGUGGUGCUUUCUCACUGCUUUGUUCACUGUACACUUUAGCUGUUGUUCUCUGGUACAGCCUUUCAGUAUGUUAGCAUUGCUCACCUGGCCACCUUGUGCCCUGUGUAUUAACAGUGGUUGCAGGCUGAGUCACCUGUUUGUAGGAGACACGUGUUGUGCUCAUUGCAAGACACUGAAAUUGUCUGACCUGCCUCAUAGGAGGUUGGACGAGAUAAUCAUAACAGCGCUUUUCUGUCUUGGAAGUCUGUGAAUUCCUGGUGGGCUAAGAAAUGAAGCUAUACUUGCAUAGUUCAGUGCUGCCAAAAACAAAACCCGUUUUGUUUUCCAAGCUGUAAGUCAGUAUUCAAGUGAAGAAGGCACUAACCACUGUUCUAAGAGCAUAUUCUGCUCCUGUUUUCAUGGUUUCUGAAAAGCUUAUUUUGGGGAAAUGCAUUUCUUCUCUUAAUUUCUCAGCCAAUUGGAGAAAAACAGACAAGCUUUUGGCACACAUUUCUACAUCAAGUCUCUCUAAAUUUUGCCAAGCUUUAUUUAUAAGGACCAUGUCUACUGUAGAGACAACCUGUUCCUGACAAACCGCUAGAAUAGAAAAUUUGAACCAAUUAUUUUUGUAAUGAAUGUACAAUAAAUCUGUUGAAAAGCUAUCUGUUAAUGACUCU
rnacentral:lncRNA from 1 species